GGUUAACAGGCAGCUUGAAAGACUUCUUUUUCCCUAACAUGACUUAAAUAGUUAGUUACACAGCAAAAAAAAAAAAAAUAAAAUAAAAUAAAAUCCUGGAGUGGGCACGCUGCUCCUUACCACAACACUCCUCUUCCUGUCCCAGAUGAAGUCUCCUCACCACGCUAAACCAUUGUGGGUCGGAAUUUUAAGGAUUAAUUUCACUUCCAAAGAAAGCCUGUUCGGAUAUUCCAAACACUACAGUAAUUCUGGCCCCUCUGAGGCUUUAGUGGCUGUUCCCUCUGAGCCUCAAGUCUGUCUAGUACAGCUUACAUGCUGCGAGGGUGGAGGUGGGGAGGGGCUCUGAAUGAGCUGACAUUUCCCUGCCAGCCCCAGUAAUAACAAGUCAGUGCUCCCACUAAGAGCCCCAGGAAAGGACAACACACACCACGGGCAGGAACAGAGCCCUGUGGUCUUUUUGACAACGGCAUAAUUCUCAAAGAAAUGGUGCAAACCCUGAAGAAGCGGAAUGCAUCCUCUCAUCAGGUCCGCUUCUCCAACGUCUCCCCCCUGCUGUGCGACGACCAUGAGAAGACACACAGGCCUCUGCAGUGGGCAUCUGGACAGAAUGGGCAUCUGGGGGAUGGUACAGCUCUCCCACCCUCAAGGGCUGUAGUCUGCAACCAUGUUAAAAAGAAAAGCCGAGGAUAUACAAGUUUCCUUCAGAAGAUAUAAAAAGAUCCUUCCUUGGGCAUGGGUUCAUUCUAGAAUUAGCAAGCAGCACGACUGUUUUCUAUCAUGGGGUAUUCAACCAAUUUCUACACAAAUGACUGUUUUUAUCCCCAUGAGAAUUUUGCAGACAAUCCAUGACAUCCGGGAAGCUUUGUCCUGUUAACUGUUUAAUUCCAAAACAUUGCCUUGAGUAAGAAGAUAUUUAUACCCAACAGCAUCUCUCUUAGUUUCCUUAGGCAACUUCUCCUUUUAGAAUCCAAACCCACUCAACAAUAGGCAGAUUAAUGAAUGUUUGUUUGUUUGUUUUUUUGGGUCCCAUUUUAAACCCAGCAUACAACACUCUGGUUUCUCUUCAGAGCAGAUAAAAUCUUUUGCCUUUUAAAGUCACAGAACAUGAUUUUGAGACUUCUCUAAUAUUAAAAGUACUGGCUCCGGUUCGAGUACUGCUUUGGAAAUGGAAGAAUUAAUAGGGAAAAGAAGGAGACAAGGAAAAUAAGACUAGCUUCACUUGUUCAUGAAUUUCUCAUGUGUCCUGAAAAUACAUAUUUCACUAAUCUCCAGUUCUCAGUUUCUUCAAGUAUAAAAAUAACCCCAAGGCUUGAAUUUCUAAACAUUGUGAUCAUUGAUGGAUCCUGCCCUCACUGACAUCCACAUGGAAGAAACAGGGUACCCUAAAUCACCCCAGAAGGAAACAAUCUGGACCCACCUGAUUAGAUCAAAUUUCAAUCUCCUCGGAACUGCUGAUGGUCGACACCUCAUGCCUCCAUUUUUACAUUUUUGUCUAGCCUAAGGAAAGUAUUGUAGAACCUUCUAUGGUUCCUUCUGCAGCUGCAUAGGCCCCAAGCUCUACCCCCCCCCCAUCCUUCUCUUCUCCAACAUGGCAGGUUAGCAGGGAAGGACACAGAGGAGACUCUGGCUCUACCAGUAAUCCUUUAUUUAUUUCAUAUAAAAGAUGAUCUGAGGAAGAUAUUUUAACACAUUAACAUUGGUUAGUCUUGAAGAGUGAGCGCUUGAGUUUUGGAUAUAUCACUUUCAGUACGUGUAUUUUUUUUUAAACUUUCCAAUUGAAAGCACAGCAAGAGAUGUUAAACACUAAGUAUUAAAGCGAGGAAUCUGAGAUUUCCUGAGAAACUUUAACAGACUUAGAAAAAUUUAAAUCAAGUAUUUAUUUUAUUUCUUCUUCUCUUGGAUUUGUUAAUCACACAUUUCUUUUUCAGGAAGAAGGAAUUCAGAAAGCAAACAGUAGUGCUUGCUACUAAGAAGAUAUGAUAUAUAUAUAUAUACAUAUAUAUACACACACAUAUAUACACACAUACAUGUAUAUAUGGAAUAUAUUUAAUAUGUGUGUAUAUAAUAUAAUGUAUAUGUAUGAAUAUAUAUGUAUAUAUCAGGCAUAAUGGGCACAAAACAUUCAUAAUUCCUCAAAUCUUCUGCUGUCAAUCUCUUUGUUGUCAAACCAACUACAAGAUAGAAAUCAUCUAAUCACCAAGAUGAAUAGCGUUCUAUGCAUUAGUACCUGCAUGGCGAGACAACCCCAAGGUGCAGAGAACCCAGUGCUCUGACGUGACACUCACUGCUGAUUACAGGCUGCAGGCAUUCAAGCAAAAUAUGCAAAUAUAUUCAGAUGUCCCCUAGCUUUAUAAGAAAAAAAUUUAAUCGGCACUGAAAGGAGAUUUGGGAAAGAGGCUAAGGCUGGAGUUUCACAAAUUCAAGUCCAGUAUGAACUACAUUAUCAUGACCAUGUCUUCAGAAGGCAAAAGAGAAGGGGAAGAAAGAAUGGACAGAUGGGAAAAAGGAAGGAAAGCUAAGGCAGGCAGGCAGGCAGCAAGGAAGGAGAGAGCUUUAUAGUUUUGUAUACACAGUACUGCCAACCUUUCCUAAAAGGAAAAUAACCAGAGAGCAAGGGACAAACUUGGUGGGUUACAUUCCAAACAGCAGGUAUCUGAUGGAGAGUUAGGUCUAAUGCUAGGGACAGCACAAGAGCAAGAAGUGAUAUCACAGUGUUCUAGUGAGGGGUGGCGACAAAAAACAACAAUGCCUUUUAAUGUGAACAACAAAAAGCAAAUAUAACAGUAAAUCUAGCCUUAAAAAAUGUUACAAAUAGCAAAGUGAAACUAUGAAUGGAUUCAUCAAUGAAUCUUUGCUAUGUAUGAAAACAUACACACAAAAUAGAAGCAGUGGAAUGGGGAUAAAAAAAAAAGUAAUUUUGAAAGAAAUUUGAUACUAUGCUUUGGCAUAAGUAAAAGAUAAUAGAACCUUAUUAUUGUUGCAGAUAGGAAAAGAGAAUAAAAUACUAUAUUCCAGUAAAGAUUAUUUCAGUAACUGUCAUCGCUCCAUUCUUAAAUUUGCAGAAUGUUUUUAAAUAUAAAACUUUGUCUUUAUCCUGGGUAACUAAAAAACCUAUCCUCUUCAAAAGCUGUGAGGCUCAGGCUGAGCUAUUACAUGUGCAAGCCUGAGGGUUCCGUUCUCUGUGUUCCCUAUAAUAAAAAGAAAACCCAAAGUCAGGAAGAUCCCCUCACCACUCCCCAGCCCCAAGGGGCCCUCCAAACCCCUGAGGGAUUCAGUCUUGCUGCUGGGACCUGAAGGAUUCUUUGUUGGUCACAAGCUGUUCCCUACUGAAUUCCGGUCUGCAUCUGGAGGCACUGCCACAUGUGUGGACUCAUGAAGGGUCAUCCACUCAGCCUGAGGAAGGACGCUCCUCACAACCAGGCCAUCUCAGCAGCCACGCUGCAUCCACCUGCUUAGCCGCCUUUGAAGAAUCAUGCCUGAAGCUCACAGCUGGCAUCCAUCAGCCUGCCCAAGUCACUGAGUGCCCCCAGACACAAAGAAAGAGAGACCUACUAUUCUGAGAAGACCUGCAGGUUGCCUGGGCCCCUUUUUGUUUACUGACAUUGGCACCACGUUCUCAUUCAUCCACCAUUUGGUCAACAUUCACGGAGGCUUCCUUAGUGACUCUUUCUUUGGCAAGGAUGGCCGGGCAGGAAUCAUCUGGCCUUGUCACACACUGUGCAUCACACUUCAGGGCAAGUGACUGCAGUUCCUGAGUUUAAGCUGACACACGUUGGAUUCUACUAGAAUCCAUGUCUAGUUCUUUUGUUUUGGUUUGCUCUUCUUUUUUCCUAUGAAGAAUUUCUCUUUUUUCUUUCAGGAUGUAAAAUAAAUCCGGAGAGGAUUUGGGCUGUAGUUGCUGUCUUUGAAACCCCACCAGGAGCUUGUCCUUAGCAUCAUUUUGCCAUGGUCUUAAUCUAUGUUUUUCACUUAACAUAGUCAGCUCUUGGCAGGCACAGGUCCUGCAACCAUGAGUUCAACUCAUCUCUGAUUUUAAAUCCUAGGGAAAUUGCAUCCAUACGUAGCCUGAACAGGCUCUUCUCAUUAUUCCCAAGCAAAUACAGUAUAACCACUAUUUACACAGCACUAAACAUCAUGUUGGGUGACACCUCAAAGUAUAUGAAAGGAUUAGGGUGGUCUACCUCACAUCUGGCAAGCUCUUUACAGAUGGGUAUCCUCGGGCUUUGGAAUCUGGGGGCCCUGAACCCAAUGCUUGCUGCUAAGGAGAAAUGCAUGUCACUGGUGCUGGGUGGAAUUCAAUUUUCCUUCCCAGUCUCAGCAACAACGAAGUAGAUCCACCUGUAAAUUGCUGCCACUUGGUUUUUUAUUGCUUUUAUUUCAAUGGUUAAGAAAUUCUCUCAAUCAGGAACUAGAGAAAGCACCCAAGGAACUAAAGGGAACUGCAACCCUAUAGGUGGAACAACAAUAUGAAC
rnacentral:lncRNA from 1 species